rnacentral:lncRNA from 1 species
AGGUAAUAGAAAACUAGCUAUUCUAUUUGCAUUGUGUUGUUUAACCUUGGUCUCAACUAGUCCAACCAGGUCAAACUUAUUAUUCCUAAGAUAAUUCUGUGCUUCUUUUUGUUUGAACCUUUUAUUUACACCUCUAAUAUUCCAAAAGAUCCACUUUAUUGGGUUUUACUUGUUCCCCCUUCAUCUUGGGAUGAUCAGACCAUCUAACUGACCCAAUUUCA